rnacentral:rRNA from 1 species
UGCAGUCGAGCGGACAGAUGGGAGCUUGCUCCCUGAUGUUAGCGGCGGACGGGUGAGUAACACGUGGGUAACCUGCCUGUAAGACUGGGAUAACUCCGGGAAACCGGGGCUAAUACCGGAUGGUUGUUUGAACCGCAUGGUUCAGACAUAAAAGGUGGCUUCGGCUACCACUUACAGAUGGACCCGCGGCGCAUUAGCUAGUUGGUGAGGUAACGGCUCACCAAGGCGACGAUGCGUAGCCGACCUGAGAGGGUGAUCGGCCACACUGGGACUGAGACACGGCCCAGACUCCUACGGGAGGCAGCAGUAGGGAAUCUUCCGCAAUGGACGAAAGUCUGACGGAGCAACGCCGCGUGAGUGAUGAAGGUUUUCGGAUCGUAAAGCUCUGUUGUUAGGGAAGAACAAGUGCCGUUCAAAUAGGGCGGCACCUUGACGGUACCUAACCAGAAAGCCACGGCUAACUACGUGCCAGCAGCCGCGGUAAUACGUAGGUGGCAAGCGUUGUCCGGAAUUAUUGGGCGUAAAGGGCUCGCAGGCGGUUUCUUAAGUCUGAUGUGAAAGCCCCCGGCUCAACCGGGGAGGGUCAUUGGAAACUGGGGAACUUGAGUGCAGAAGAGGAGAGUGGAAUUCCACGUGUAGCGGUGAAAUGCGUAGAGAUGUGGAGGAACACCAGUGGCGAAGGCGACUCUCUGGUCUGUAACUGACGCUGAGGAGCGAAAGCGUGGGGAGCGAAACAGGAUAGAUACCCUGGUAGUCCACGCCGUAAACGAUGAGUGCUAAGUGUUAGGGGGGUUUCCGCCCCUUAGUGCUGCAGCUAACGCAAUAAGCACUCCGCCUGGGGAGUACGGUCGCAAGACUGAAACUCAAAGGAAUUGACGGGGGCCCGCACA